rnacentral:lncRNA from 1 species
CUAGAAAUCAUCAGUUCUGGGUAUUGAUAAUGCAACAAUGGCUCCUGGUGGGACAAGGGUGUCUUCUCCUACUCCAGUCACACACGGAACACAAUUUUUUGAUUAGUCAGCCCAUCAACUAGCAGGGUUUUAAAAACAAUGACAAGUCAGUUUAAAUCUGGCUCUGGAGGUAGCAUUUCCAGAAUGGUUGUAUGAGAGGGUUGGUCAACCACGUUUUUAGUAAUACACCACGAAGCAAAACAAAACAAAAC